ACACGUAGGGGGCGAGCGUUGUCCGGAAUUACUGGGCGUAAAGGGCGUGUAGGCGGUCUAUUAAGUCAGGCGUGAAACCCCUAGGCUUAACCUGGGGAGUGCGUUUGAGACUGGUAGGCUUGAGGGCAGGAGAGGAAAGUGGAAUUCCCGGUGUAGCGGUGAUAUGCGUAGAUACCGGGAGGAACACCAGUGGCGAAGGCGGCUUUCUGGACUGCACCUGACGCUGAGGCGCGAAAGCCAGGGGAGCGAACGGGAUUAGAUACCCCGGUAGUCCUGGCCGUAAACGAUGGGUACUAGGUGUGGGAGGUAUCGACUCCUUCCGUGCCGGAGUUAACACAAUAAGUACCCCGCCUGGGGAGUACGGCCGCAAGGCUGAA
rnacentral:rRNA from 1 species